rnacentral:sRNA from 1 species
CCUUCUUUCUCAUGACUAUGGAGAUAUUGUUGCUCAGGAGCUUCUCUACAGGUACAAGCAGAAUCGAUCUGGUCGGCUUACCAUAAAGAGUCUCUGUCUGUCAAAUGGAGGUAUCUUUCCUGAGACUCACCGUCCACUCCUUCUCCAAAAGGUUGGUACUUCACUGAUAGACUUUAGUUUUAGGAUUUGUACUGACGUAAAUAAUGCUGGGACCUUUUAAGGGCCAUAGCUCCUGUAAUCGGCAGUAGUGAAAUCCUCUUCCUUGUGAAUUUAUAUU